rnacentral:rRNA from 1 species
AAACAGAUGCUAAUACCGGAUAACAACAGAUGAUGCCUAUCAACUGUUUAAAAGANGGUUCUGCUAUCACUCUUGGAUGGACCUGCGGUGCAUUAGCUAGUUGGUAGGGUAACGGCCUACCAAGGCGAUGAUGCAUAGCCGAGUUGAGAGACUGAUCGGCCUACAUUGGGACUGAGACGACGGCCCAAACUCCUACGGGAGGCAGCAGGC